GCCCCCGGCGCCGCGGCCGCGGGGGGCGGGCGUCAAGCGGGUGCCCGGGGCCGCGGGGGUGGAGAGGAGCACGCGAGGCGCGGGGGCGUCCGGAGAGCGGGCGGGGGCAGGUCCCAGCGUCUCGGGGGGCCCGGGACUGGGCUCUGGGGGCCCAAGCUUUCCUGGACGCCCCAGGCCAUCAGCGGCGGGGGCGUGGCGGGGGACAGGCAGGAAGCCGGGCCUGGAGGCUGGCUUCUUUGCCGCGUGACCUUGGGGAGAGGCGCCUCCGGCCGCAGCUCCGCGGGUGUGUUUUUAUAACGUUUCCCAGCGUCGGCUCAGCUCCCUGCGAGCCGCGCCACGCCCCGUCCAGCCGGAGCCGAAGGAAUGACUGCCCCCGGGUCAGACACCGGGGCCCGCAAGGAGGAAGAGGCGGUUGGUUUCAAUACCGCGCAGCCGGCCCAGCCCAUGAGGCCUCGAGCAGCCUCAGUUUCCCUGUCCGUGGUGCUGAGGACGCCGGGGCCUGGAUGCGCGGGGCGGGCGGGGCGGCAUCCCGGUCGCUGCCCGGGACACUGGCCAAAGCUGCCAUAUAUUGCAGGGGCCAGAAGCCUGAGAACUACAUUUCCCAGAGUCCCCUGCGGCAGGGUUCCAGGUUAGAGUCUCUCAAUCACAGCUCUUUCAGGGGUUCUAGAAGCGCCUAAAAGCCCGGAUUCAAU
rnacentral:lncRNA from 1 species